GCGUUCUUAGUGUAAUGGAUCAUCACGUAAGAUUCCGGUUCUUGAGAUAUGGGUUCGAUUCCCAUAGAACGCA
rnacentral:tRNA from 1 species